CCUACGGGAGGCAGCAGUGGGGAAUAUUGGUCAAUGGAGGAAACUCUGAACCAGCAACGCCGCGUGAAUGAUGAAGGUCUUCGGAUUGUAAAGUUCUUUUCUAAGGGAAGAAAAUGACGGUACCUGACUAAGAAGCCCCGGCUAACUACGUGCCAGCAGCCGCGGUAAUACGUAGGGGGCAAGCGUUAUCCGGAUUUACUGGGUGUAAAGGGAGCGUAGACGGUGCAGCAAGUCUGAUGUGAAAGGUCGGGGCCCAACCCCGGGACUGCAUUGGAAACUGUUGAACUGGAGUACAGGAGAGGUAAGCGGAAUUCCUAGUGUAGCGGUGAAAUGCGUAGAUAUUAGGAGGAACACCAGUGGCGAAGGCGGCUUACUGGACUGUAACUGACGUUGAGGCUCGAAAGCGUGGGGAGCAAACAGGAUUAGAUACCCCAGUAGUC
rnacentral:rRNA from 1 species